rnacentral:lncRNA from 1 species
AUGGCCUCAGUGAGAGGCACACCUCCCCGGAAGCAAGAAUUGCUGUCUCUUCCCCCAGGAGGACUGACCUACCAGAAGCUGCUGUCAAGAAGGCCGUUGUGGGAUUCUGAGGACAGACAGCCCAGGAGUCCAGGAAGGGAUGCAAACUGCAGGUGCCUGCACCCGACCGAUUGCACAUGCGAGCGCCCAUCCCUCCCCAGGGGUGAUGAGGGCAGGACUUCCAGGUCCCCUGACCGCUGUACUUGGUCCUCCCAGAUGGGCUGGCCACAGGGCAGGAGGACCUGCUCUCCACAGCUUCCCAGACACCCUGCAGGCUGGAGCAGGGAGCUGCAGGGAAGACAACAGACUCCAUCUCGACAUUUACCAACCCUGUGGAAGUGGGCCCCGUCUCCUCUUUGUUUUGGCUUGAGAUCCCCCUGGACCUGCAGCCAAGUCUCCUUUGCUUGGCUGAGCAGUUGCUAAAACGAGCCUCCUUCGAGCCAAGCAUACCGCACGGGCCCGCUGGCCUGCGUAUCAGGAAACGGGGUGGAAAAGAAAUCAGGGUCUCCUUGUGAAACUGCAAAACUCCUUGCAAAACUGAGCCUGGGGGGCUCAGCGGUUGAGCAUCUGCCUUUGGCUCAAGGCGUGAUCCCAGAGUCCCGGGAUCAAGUCCCACAUCAGGCUCUCCCCAGGGAGCCUGCUUCUCCCUCUGCCUGUGUCUCUGCCUCUCUCUCUCUCUGUGUCUCUCAUGAAUAGAUAAAUACAAUCUUUUUUUCAAAAACUGCAUUACAAAUUAUACAUGUAUAAUUACCAUCAUUUGGACGGGGGAUAAACUGACCCACAGCUCCAGGAGUGGGCCUCCUCACAGCAUCUACUAAUUAGGAGUCCAAAUACAUCAGUGUUGUCAUCAGUGUGUUCUGGAAGGGCUGAGGAAAUCCAUGUGACGAACCUGAAUAAAUGAAUCUCAUGUCACGUUCUUCUCCUUUGAGAUCCGGCGAUGGCAUGAGGCACGACCUCGAUGCAGCUCUGUGACACCCGAUACUGCUGGGGUAGAACUUGGUUAUAUGCACACCAUAGGCUGUUCUUCCCUGAAGGAUGCCAGAGGUACCUUUCCACCCCCGACCCCCUUCAUGGCACAAGCCACCGGGACAAAGGCAAGCAGCCCAAGGCCCACAGACAUCCCAGGGGAGUUUGGUGGAAAGGGCAGAGAGAAGCAGCUGCCACAGUCUCUUUUCUCCAAGUUGGUGUCCUUUAGGAUUUCCUUUUCUUUACAAAGGCCCUGGUUUGUCGGGUUCAUGAAGACAAUGUUGUACGGGAGGCGGGUGGGGAAGGGGAGCUUAAAAAUGGCCCUGGGCCUCCAAGUUUGGCCUCUUGUGAUUCCGGGGUGACCCAGUGUUCCAAAGCCCGUUGAUGAGGACAGAACAUUUCAUAAAGGUGCCCGGAAUCCUGACAGCUGUGGUCUCCAGUCAACCUUGGACUGACAUGGUUCAACACAGAUGACCUGGAAAAUUCACUUGAAAACAUCCUGCCGCCGAGCUGUAGUGUCUGGGCGCUGCCUUCAGCCAGAUGGGCCCUCCGGCUCCUGGCCCCAGGGGAUCUCUCACAUAAAAUUUUUAGAGUUUUACUGUGAUUGGUUACUGCAUUGUCCUACUUGAUUGGUUUACAGACGCCUCAGAAAGCUCUACGCUGUGCUGGGGGAGCUAUCUUUUCUCAUUGACACAUUGGUGACUAUGCCAUUUCUGAUCAUUUUUAUAAAUAUUGUGUCAGACCUUGGCUAGAAUCAUAAUCCUAUUGUUUCUAUGAAAAAAAAAUCACAUCUAGUUUCUAUCCUGAACUUCUAGUACCUCUAUUUCAGGGAGAAAAUAUUAUAUUCUGGAGUCACCUGGGUGGCUCAGUCGGUGAAAUAUCUGACUUUGGCUCAGGUCAUGAUCCCGGGUCCUGGGAUCGAGCCCCACGUUGGGCUUGCUGCUCAGCGAGGAGUCUGCUUCUCCCUCUCUUGCCCCUCCCCUGACUUGUGCCCAUUUUAUCUCU